UCAAGCAUCCUACUCAUCAGGUUGUACUUGCAAAAUAGACCUCAUCUGAUGCGAGCUCAAAAGUUUCUUGUUGCGCGAAGCAAAUGGUGCAUUAGUCGUCUAAUGACCAUAACUUCUCAACUCAGAGAAUUUCAAGCAUUGUCGGCUAUUAGGGGAAUUCCUUUGCUUCCUGUUAUCUUGAAUCCCACCAGUUACAAUCACUGUAAACAUUACGGUGAGAGUUUCAAUAAACUAUCUAGACCUUUACAG
rnacentral:misc_RNA from 1 species